rnacentral:rRNA from 1 species
GACGAACGCUGGCGGCGUGCCUAAUACAUGCAAGUAGAACGCUGAAGGAGGAGCUUGCUCUUCUGGAUGAGUUGCGAACGGGUGAGUAACGCGUAGGUAACCUGCCUGGUAGCGGGGGAUAACUAUUGGAAACGAUAGCUAAUACCGCAUAACAGUAGAUGUUGCAUGACAUUUACUUAAAAGGUGCAAUUGCAUCGCUACCAGAUGGACCUGCGUUGUAUUAGCUAGUUGGUGGGGUAACGGCUCACCAAGGCGACGAUACAUAGCCGACCUGAGAGGGUGAUCGGCCACACUGGGACUGAGACACGGCCCAGACUCCUACGGGAGGCAGCAGUAGGGAAUCUUCGGCAAUGGACGGAAGUCUGACCGAGCAACGCCGCGUGAGUGAAGAAGGUUGUCGGAUCGUAAAGCUCUGUUGUAAGAGAAGAACGAGUGUGAGAGUGGAAAGUUCACACUGUGACGGUAUCUGACCAGAAAGGGACGGCUAACUACGUG